CUUGAAGAGAGGGCAGUAACUUGUGCAAACAAAUCCUGAAGAAGCAAGCAUUGUUUCCGCUGCUGUCAUCAGGGCCGUACAUAUCUCUGCCUGGAGCCAGGCCUGAUUCUGCCCUGCUGAUUGGAAUAUUGGACUUGGAGGUGUCCAUUCUGAUUCCGAAGUCUGUUCCUGUCUCCUGGCCUGUGCCAAACUCUCUUUCCUUAAAGGAUUGCUUUGGCCUUCCUGGAGUUUGUGGAGGAGAAGAAAGCAUCAGAGAAAUGUCAUCUGUCCGGGAGGAGAUUACAAAGGCCAAGUGGAUGAAAGCCACUUCCAUUCGUCUUAACAUCUUCAGUGGACUCUACCACCUACUCAAAUGUGUCAUGUGAGAUUGGAGAGGAGGGAGAAAGAAGGAGGACAUCACCAAGAAAACAAACAAGCAGAAGAAGAGCUGAGCUCCAUCUUGAGUCGGACAGAACACAGGGAAGAAAGAGCUGCCAAAGGUCAGAUGAAAAUGAGACAUUGGAAACCAGAACUGAAGCCAAGUGACCAUGACAAUAUGAGCUUCCCACUUCCACUACGCCAUCCUGGGCAGAGGGCCAUGCUGCCUCCUUGAAAUGCAGGCAGGAAGUGGGGUGAGGGCCAGAUAUUUCUUAAGUCUUGAAGGACAAACUCAUCUCUGCUGACACCUGGGUUUGGGUCUGGAAUAUUUUCACCUCCUACAAUCUACUUUACUUCUUCAGGAGUUUGCCAUUAUCUCUAUCUGCAUUUGCUGCCAUAUAGGGAGACCCAACAGAGAAAAACCAACCCAACAGAGAAAAACACAAUUAACAAGCUUACUUCUCAUGUAGAACCGACUUCUUGAGUACUUCUCAUUGGUCAUCAGCGACCCACUGACACUAAAUUUAAACAAUGUUGCCUAAGAAAUCUGCAUAUUUAAGUUGGACAAUACCUUAAACAUGCUCACCUGCCUGUGACAUCCAAAGAGACAGAGAAAAUAGGAAAGAGUGUGCAUCUCUGACGGUACAGGAGUGAAUGAACACAGGCAUCCAUUAGUCAGUGUGUCCUACAUAAUGAAUGAACAAAUGGGUGGGUGAGUGAAUGAAUGAAUAAACCCACCCUUCAGAAAAUCCUUUCCAGAAUAGAACAUAUUUCUUUAAAAAGUGUUUCCUUCUUUUCCUAAUUGUGAAAAAUCUGAUUAUCUGAUCUGAUCUGCUCUUCAAAUUCUGGUCAUAUUAAUUUUCAUUUGAAUUGUUUUCCCAGAAUGAUCUCUUCACAGGUCCUGAGUCAAAUGCCAAGGAGAGGAGAUAGGCUCUCUGCUGGGUUUAAUGUGGGAGACAAGGAGUCUUCUCGAUUGUUUCCUUUGCAGGUCCCUCUAGUUGUGGGAUGUGGGACGCUGCUCCAAUGUGACCUGAUGAGCGGUGCCAUGUCCGUGCCCAGGAUCUGACCCCUGCGCCGCCACAGCGGAGCGCACGAACGUAACCACUCAGCCGUGGAGUCGGCCCCACAACCGGAAUUUCUUCUAGCAAGCUUUAUGAAUCCUAACAGGUAGUGUAUGACAGCUUCUCAAAAUAGCAGUCUACAUUUUCUGCUUUGACUUCAUUGCUACAAAUUACUCCUUAAUAUUUAACUACUUGCAACUUGGCUCCAACUUCAUUGGAAUUAUUUUCUCCAAGGUCACCAAACUACCUCUUUAUUGAUAGACUCAGUAACAUCUUAAGAAUUUUUGUCCUCCAGGAGCUUUCUGCUGCAUUUGAUGUGACUGAUUUUAUCUUCUUCUUUGUGCAAUAAUGUCCAGCUUUGGCUGACCCAACAUUAUGCUCAUUAGGUUUUCCUCAUACCCUCUUUUUUUCUUUUUUUUGAGGAAGAUUAGCCCUGAGCUAACUGCUGCCCAUCCUCUCUUUUUGCUGAGGCAGACUGGCCCUGAGCUAACAUCCAUGCCCAUCUUCCUCUACUUUUUUUUAAUACGUGGGACGCCUACCACAGCAUGGUGUGCCAAGCGGUGCCAUGUCCAUACCCGGGAUCCGAACCGGUGAACCCCAGGCUCCAGAGAAGCAGAACGUGCAAACUUAACCACUGCGCCACCUGGCUGGCCCCUCCUCAUACCGUCUGAGCACUCUUCUUUCUCCUUCUGGGAGAUUCUUCCUCCAAAUACCCAUCAUAUGUGGCCCUUGUUAAAGGUUUUGUUCUUAGCCAUGUCUCUUUUUUACUUUAGGUGAACUUGAACAUUCUCAUUCUCUAGGGAAAGCUUCUAGCAUCUCUGAGGAUGAUUCACAAAUCUACAUUUCAGCUUUGUGCUCCAAAGCCAAAUGUCCAACUGCUUCUAAAUAUCCUUAGGCGUUCACAUUCAACAUGUCCCAAACCAAAUACUUCAUUAUCACCUUAAAGUCUGCCCCUGAAUUUCCUAAUUCUGAUAACGGACCCACCAUUCUCUCAGUCAUCCAGACUAGAAAUCCUGCUAUCUUUGACUUUUCCCAAUAUGGUUCUAUAUAGUAACUAGAAAAAAAAUAUGUAAAAGCUUAAGAAGAGUUGUAUGCUUGCUUUGGAGACAGUGAAGUAGGGAGAAACUGGGAAUUCACUCCUAAUUCAUAAGUGGUCUGGAGGGUGAGGCAGCCACUGAGAGAGCGUGCUGGCAGUCACUACAUCAGUGAAUUGCAAGUUCUGUUGGUAAUGCCUCCAAUAUGUUUCUCUUUCUGUCUCUUCCUUUCCGGCCACACUGCACUAGUUUAGUACCUUGUGUCGUUUGUCCUGGAUUAUUGUAAUAGCCUCCUAGAUGUAAGGCCGUGGGCUGGAUUCUCAACAUCUUCCUGCACAAGUCAGGACAAGAGAGAUGCGAGCAAGCAGUAAAACUUAGCCGCGGGUAGAGAGAGUGGGAAGGAGGGUGGUUAGCUGACGAUUAGAGAAACAUAAGGCAACAGUGUGCAGUGGACCUCAACAAAGUUGGUGCUGUCUUGGGUCACAGUUUCAGACCUAGAAUGAGAAAGGUGAUCAGACCUCUCUAGUUGGAGGGUGUCACAAAGUUGGAUCACUGCCUUCUGUUCUUGCAACAACACAUGAAAAGAAAUAGAGACAAGGGGCUGGCCAAGUGGCGCAGAGGUUAAGUUCCUGCAUUCCACUUUGGCGGUCUGGGGUUUGCAGGUUCGGAUCCCGGGUGUGGACCUACACACCACUUGUCAAGCCAUGCUGUGGCAGGCGUCCCACAUAUAAAGUAGAGGAAGAUGGGCACGGAUGUUAGCUCAGGGCCAAUCUUCCUCAGCAAAAAGAGGGGAUUGGCAGCGGAUGUUAGCUCAGGGCUAAUCUUCCUAAAAAAAAAAGAGACAAUAUGGAGUUUAUUUGAGAGAGUCAUCAGGGUAAUGAAGGGCCCUAAAGUUAUAUCUCAUGAAGAAUGUUGACUAACUGGAGAUAUUUAACUUGGAGAAAAUACAACAGAGAGAUUAUGGUUGGCUUCAUAUAUAUAAAAAACUAUCUUGUGGAAAUCACCUAAGAACUUUAUAAAUGUCAGUGUUGUCCUGAGAUGGAAUGCAUUCAUUUCAACAGAUAUUUGUUGUAUGCCUGCUCUGUGCCAGGCACUGAGGAUAUGUGAUAAGCAAGACAGUCCCUAUCAUCAUCGAACUUGAUUUCUGAUCUGACAGACAACAAGCGAAUGAACAAAUACGUAAAUGAGUAAUAUAAAUUCCAGAAAGUGAUGGGAUCAGAUGCUAGGAGUAUGUGAGCCUAGAUUUUGGGACCACUUGGCAGGAAGGUUUUAGAAGAGAUUUAAGCAUUAGAUGGAUUAUUGGAUCAGAUGACCUUAGGGGACCCUUCAACCCCAAGAAUUUAUGAUUCUGCUUUUCUACUAUUAUCUACCAAAUUAGGACUUCCUCUCAGAUACCCUAAGGCUUAGAAACCCCCAACUCCUUGCUAUUCCAGGAACAAGCCCUGUACUGCGGUUAGUGAGUCAGCAAUGACUCAGUGUGAGUAUUUGCCCAUGUGGUUCAUUUGCCUGGAAUGCCUUUCUCUAACUUCUCUGCCUCUCAAAAUCCUCCUUGUCCAACAAGGCUUAACCCAAAGAUAAACUUUUUAAUCAAGAUUUCUGGGUACCCUGAAAUAUGUUGUUCCCCACUCUGGCCCAGCAACACUCAGCUUGUAACACUAUUAAAGCCCUCACUGUGUUUUACUUGUAUUGGAGUUCACUAUUUCUCAGUCUGCUUCCCUACUAGCUUCUGAUUUUCUUGAGGGCAGGGACCAAAUCUUCCUUCUUUUAUAAUGGUCCAUAGUGCGAAUCUCCUAGUCAUUGCUUUGCACUCAGAAGAUAUUCAACAAAUAAAUGAAUGUGACUCCAGGCAAUAAAUACGUUCAUUAUUAUCUGAAGUGAAUUAGACAUGACCAUUGCUUUAAGUAGGAAAAGGAAUAACCUAUUGGUUUAACCAAGAAUCUUCUCUCCCAAUCUCUGCUAUAUCCCUCUCUGCUUACUAGCUAUGUAGCCCUGAGCACAUUGCCUAACAUCUUAAUGCCUCAGUUUCUUCGUGUAUACAAUGGCAAUAAUAAUAGUACCUACUUCAUAAGAUUUUUGCAAGGAUGAACAAUCCCCAUCAAGAGGCUAGGUCAGCACCUACCACAUAAUUAGCCCUCACUAAAUAUUAGCAAUUAUUAUUAUAAUGAUGAUUAGGCAUUCCUGCCCUCCAGUAGCUUUAAAAGUAUGGUUUCAUAGGAAGAAACAAGAAUUUUUGAACAGAAAUUACAAAAGAACGCAGAUGACUGAUUUUAUAUUAGGUAAAGCUUCCAUCAUCCCUAUUAGGCAAAGACAAUUUGACAUAUAAAAUUAAGAGGGAAGCCCCUACUUGUGUUGACUUGGAAAAUAGUGUAAUAGAAGAACUAACUAUAGUUACCAGCAAGAGCCCCUGUAGGGGAUGGGCCUUAGAGACAACCUCCCCUCUAUGGAAGAGAAAGAGAUGGUUCAGAGAGGUUCAGUGGUUUGCUCAAGGUCACACAGCUGACUGUCAGAAUGGGGAGACUAACGUUAACCUUCCAGGUCUGCCUGGCUCCUUAGCCCCUGCUCUUUCCACUGCACCCUGCUGCCUUCCAGUUGCAUGGCUGAAGACACCACAGAUUGGAGAUGCAGUUAGUCCAAAGCCUCACAGGCCCCAAUUCUUCAUUGCUAGCACUGUAUGGGCAGCAAGCCUGAUUUCAGACUCUUGGGGCUGAGGCUGCUGAUUCUCUUCCGGGCGUAGGGAGAACUGACUCACAGGCUCAGGCAGGCUGGGCCCUGCAGGGGGAGGUUCUCUGGGGCUCCAUCUCUGAAGGCUGGGGACAUGGCAGAGGUAAAAGAUCUGAGGUCUGUCUGACGUGCAUUUAACCCAGGAGAGGGAAGAGAGCAUGACAUGGUUCUGUAUCUAAUGUGUCCAGAAGACAAUCCCUGGAAUGGACCAAGACGUACCCAAAAUGCCAAAGCCGAGGAAAAGGAUGUGUGACUUAUGCUUGGAGCAAGAAGCAACAAUCAGAAAGGAUAGACCUCAUGGCCUUGCUCUUUGAGAAGUGGGUGUAAUGUUAACGAAAAAUUGAAAGGAGUUAGAGUUACUCUGAUCCCAAGCAAGGGAACGGUGUUCAACAGCUGAGGUUAGAAUAAACAGAGAGGAGGAACUGAAGCCCACCCGAGAGGGGAGGUGGUACAAGCACAUCUUGCAGGUUUUUUUGAGUCUUGGGCUUAAAAGAAUUAUAUGCCAAGAGACUGAUUGGCUAACAUUGACCUUUAUAUUAUUAAUACAUUAUAUUUAGAUAGACCUUUUCACUUAUAAACACUUCUCGUUUCAUAGUCAACAAAUUCAAUUUAAUAAACGUUUAUUAAGUUUUUGCUUAUGCAAAGCGCAAUCACUGUUCUCCACUCAAAUUGGAUGACACGAUCUGUGAAGUCUUCCCCAAAUAUAGAUCCAGUGCACCCUGCUUCUUGUCCUGGGUCACAAAGGGCUCUUGGUGCACCUCUGCCACGUGCCAGGAAAGAGGGAGGCCUUGGACGAAAUGCAGCAUCUUCCUGAAGAGUCAAUUACUUGAGGAUUUGUCUGGAUGCUUGUAGGGGUAGGGGUGGGGGGUGCAUUUCUGUAUUGAGGCAAACAACCAUUUUCCAUUUUGUGGAGUACAGGGCAAAGUCUGCUCCUUUGAGCUUUGUUAUGGGAAGAUCCCAGUGUAAUAGGGAUGUUUCUUUAGUGGUGAAGUCUGAAAAGUAUUAAAUCUUAACCUGGACACUUAGACUAAUGAACUUACUUGUAGGCAUAUUAAAACUUCAUUGAUUUAGGCUCCAUUUAUUUGGAAUUUUUAAUAAUUUGCAUAAGUACUAUAGUCUAUGUAAACGUGAAAACAAUGAUGAGAGCUAUUUUAUUUUUUUAAGUUCCAUGGUGAUGAUUUAAAUAUUAAAGAAAAUUUAUUUAAAAAACACCCUCAGAUUAUAAUGAGUAAUUUGCAUUCAAAUACUUAAUACACGAAUUGUAAGUAUUCUUAUCUACUCAUCAAAGCAGAUUCGGAAAGUUGAUCAGUCUCACUUUGAAUUACAUUAUGUAUUUGAACAUUUACAAAACUUCCUUUGAUUUUCUUUAACAAUAUUCUUAUAAUCAAGGGUUUUCCUUCACUUUUUUCCUCUUCCUGCCAUUCGUGAUAAUCAGUAAGGUUUAAAUCACUAACCACCUCCCAUUUUCUACCACAUAAACCUUCUAAAGAGGGUGUGGUUUCCUAGCUUCCAGUUGGACAAGUUGUAACAGGGUCAUUGUACUGACGUUCCCCAAUACGGUUACCCUUAUGACCUUGUUAACUUCAAUUCAGAGGAAAAACUCAGCAAACAAUAAUAACCCAAUGGGCCAUUCCCCAGAGUAACCCUGACACACCUGUUAAUCAUUUCUUGCCCUGAACCAUUCAUUCUAUUUAGAUAGAAGAAAUUGUCACAAAUUUCCCUUCCAAAGCCAGGAGAACAAAAGUUUCCAGAUUAAUUCCCAGCUUUAGUGAAUUCCCUAUUAAGAGGGGGGCAAAUUCUACAUAAAGAUCCUUUGCUUCAAACACAGUAUGUUGUAAGCACAUUGAGUUUUUAAUUCUCAAUAUUGCUUCAUGCAUCAUUUAUCCCAUGCCACGCUGUUCUCUGCAUACCAGUCAGUUCUACUCAUCCCGUCCCAGUGCUCAGGACUGGAGGAACAAAUUGUGUGGGGAAUAGAAAGCACGUUUUCUUGGCCACAAUGGAAGGGCUGUGUGUGGCAUAUAUACCACCUCACUUCUCUGGGCUUUAGUUUCCCCGACUAUGAAAUGCAGGGGUUGGAAUGAGCACCACCUUUUUGAUGACUGCUGGCUUCAACAGUACCUGC
ensembl:lncRNA